GGGUAGGGGAGCGUUCUGUAAGCCUGUGAAGGUGGCCUGUGAGGGUUGCUGGAGGUAUCAGAAGUGCGAAUGCUGACAUAAGUAACGAUAAAGCGGGUGAAAAGCCCGCUCGCCGGAAGACCAAGGGUUCCUGUCCAACGUUAAUCGGGGCAGGGUGAGUCGACCCCUAAGGCGAGGCCGAAAGGCGUAGUCGAUGGGAAACGGGUUAAUAUUCCCGUACUUGGUGUUACUGCGAAGGGGGGACGGAGAAGGCUAUGUUGGCCGGGCGACGGUUGUCCCGGUUUAAGCGUGUAGGUGUGUGUUCCAGGUAAAUCCGGUUCACUUUAACACUGAGGCGUGAUGACGAGGCACUACGGUGCUGAAGCAACAAAUGCCCUGCUUCCAGGAAAAGCCUCUAAGCAUCAGGUAACAUCAAAUCGUACCCCAAACCGACACAGGUGGUCAGGUAGAGAAUACCAAGGCGCUUGAGAGAACUCGGGUGAAGGAACUAGGCAAAAUGGUGCCGUAACUUCGGGAGAAGGCACGCUGACAUGUAGGUGAAGUGAUUUACUCAUGGAGCUGAAGUCAGUCGAAGAUACCAGCUGGCUGCAACUGUUUAUUAAAAACACAGCACUGUGCAAACACGAAAGUGGACGUAUACGGUGUGACGCCUGCCCGGUGCCGGAAGGUUAAUUGAUGGGGUCAGCGCAAGCGAAGCUCCUGAUCGAAGCCCCGGUAAACGGCGGCCGUAACUAUAACGGUCCUAAGGUAGCGAAAUUCCUUGUCGGGUAAGUUCCGACCUGCACGAAUGGCGUAAUGAUGGCCAGGCUGUCUCCACCCGAGACUCAGUGAAAUUGAACUCGCUGUGAAGAUGCAGUGUACCCGCGGCAAGACGGAAAGACCCCGUGAACCUUU
rnacentral:rRNA from 1 species